rnacentral:lncRNA from 1 species
UUAAAGCAAAAUGUAGUCAAAUUUUAAAUAAUGUAGGUAGUAUAAUCCUUUGAUUGUAAAUUAUUUUCCCUACUACGUAAAGCUGGUACAAUAGCCGUACGGUUUUUUAUAUACCGAAAAGCAUUCAUUCAUCAUGGAGUCCAGGAUGAUUUACGAUGUGAUGGUAGAACAAUGCUGGAUUACCACCCUAUAAUUCUUGAAACUACAUUAGUUUCCAAUGCCAGUGGAUCGGCAAGGCUGAGACUUGCAAACUCAUCAACAUCUGGAAAAUGAAAUUUGCAAAUUCCUACAAAGAUCCUAUGCUUCAGCUGAUGUGAUAUUUCCACCAGUCCUGAUGUAUCAACACUGGUGCAGAGUCUACAACAAGCCAUGGCCCUUGAAGCUGAAUUCCAACCAAAGCUUCAACUUCUGUCAACACUCAACAGCCAGCAAUACAGGAGAAAGCGGUGAAAUUAUGUGUGCAAUGAGGGAUGGAGCUGCUCAUGUUCAUCGCUGCAUGAAAGUCUGGUAUGAUCUUCCUUAUGCAGUUCUUCUGGAUGCUCUCAACAUGAUGGACUGGUUCAUGAGCCGCAUCAAAGCACUCCUAAACACCUCUCAUGCAUAGCAAUCAGCUCCUUCCAUCUAGCAGCUUGCCAAUGGGUGGAGAGGAUUAAACAGAACAACAUUGAGGUAUCUUCCAUUCAGAGUCCAUUGUAGAUUGUUCCUGAACCUCAAUAUCUGGUAACGAUAUCUUAAUGUAAAUGUACCGCCGGAGACAUCAACCGGAUGGAAAAAAUUGUCGAAGCCAAGUUAGCUUGUCUACCCCAAGAAGAACCGGUCACGACCUUAACAUUCCUCAACCUGUAUCACUCACUUCUCUCGACGACUUUACCUGCCGCUCUUCAGCAAGACCUUCUUAUUCUUUCAUGCAAGCAGGAGACCAUUUGCUGUGACGCAAAAUAAUGCUGCCUUUCCCUCAUCUCUUUUGGCUUACGUCCUACUGUUUGUCGAAAUGAAGUGUCACCAGCCGGCCAUCAAGGUUAUUAUCAGAGACGUUUUACUAGAAAUUCAGCGACUUGUUAAGGUCAAAGAUGACUAGUUAAAGGAGUGUAUAAGAAUGGUCACUUCGGCAAUGGCACCUUACGAUGGCUAUGCCCAAAGCAAUCCGUCUCAUCGUCAACGACUUACCUGGAAGUUGUCCUUUUUCUAAUAUUUCUUUGCCUUCUAAAUCAUUUAUAAUAAGUUUUGCCUUUAGAAAAGGAAAAUGCCUAACUUUUUCUAGUCCUAUACCACUUACUGGUUGAGCCUGUGUAAAUUCGGGUCUCAAUGAUAUAUGAUUACCACUCUUAACAAGAAAACUAUAUAUUUCUUUACUCACUACAUCAGAAGUUUCUCCAAGUGUGCGGUCGAAAAUGUUAGUCAAAAUUCCCUUCAUAGAUAAGAGAAAUAGAGCCGUAAUUUCAUCCUAUAAACGUUCAAUUAAUCUAUCAAAAAUCUUAUCUUGUUUAGGGUGGUUAUUAACCUUAUAUGUUAUUUAUAUAAAUUUAAAUACUAUAAAUAAUGGUUCGAAAUUAA